rnacentral:rRNA from 1 species
GAUGAACGCUGGCGGCGUGCCUAAUACAUGCAAGUAGAACGCUGAAGGAGGAGCUUGCUCUUCUGGAUGAGUUGCGAACGGGUGAGUAACGCGUAGGUAACCUGCCUGGUAGCGGGGGAUAACUAUUGGAAACGAUAGCUAAUACCGCAUGACAACAGUUAUUGCAUGAUAACUGUUUAAAAGGGGCAACUGCUCCACUACCAGAUGGACCUGCGUUGUAUUAGCUAGUUGGUGAGGUAACGGCUCACCAAGGCGACGAUACAUAGCCGACCUGAGAGGGGGAUCGGCCACACUGGGACUGAGACACGGCCCAGACUCCUACGGGAGGCAGCAGUAGGGAAUCUUCGGCAAUGGACGGAAGUCUGACCGAGCAACGCCGCGUGAGUGAAGAAGGUUUUCGGAUCGUAAAGCUCUGUUGGAAGAGAAGAACGAGUGUGAGAGUAGAAAGUUCACACUGUGACGGUAUCUUACCAGAAAGGGACGGCUAACUACGUG